GGGAUCUUCUGGCCUCUCGCUCCCCGAAUGGCCCCGAAUGGUGAUACCUAGAAUUUUGUCAGCUGCGGCGACCAUCCGGUGACCCCGCUCAAAUGGAGAUGCGGUGCCCGAUUGGUGCGGAAGGCAACUACUUGCUCAUUCUACUCUAUGAGGGACAAGAUGACGAAGCGAGGGAAGCGGAAGAAGAUGAUUGAUCGGAUCGAGGGUAGGGUGGAGGUCACCGAGUCCGCAACCGGUGGCUGGCUCAGAAUAAAGGUCUGCAUUGUAUGUGAGUUUCAGAAGUUGGGAUUCAAGACGAAGGUGUUAACUGGAACAGAAAAAAAAUAGUUAAGGUAUAAUCACCGCCUAAUACCAAGACCAAUUUGUGAAAUAAGAUCGUCAAUCAGAACUUCGAAAGUAACUUACAUGUUAAACUGGCUGACAUGUCAGUGUACCAAUCUCUCAAGAUGUCAUCUGGAUUACGAGUUACCUCUUGCACAAAAAACUCCUGAUAGUGAUUAAAUCCAAUGAAAUCAAAAGAUCCUCUCAAUAUGGCCGACUCUUCUGGUUUGAAGGAUGGUAAGCGAGAUCCAACAAACUUCCUCAUCACAAAAGGGAACCUUCCAUACACUAUAGGAUCAAUGAACCUGCCGCAAAGCCCAUCGAAUUCAGUACACGUCACACAACUUCUGUAUGUCUAGAUUGAGCACAGAGAAGAAAUCUCCAGUAUAUUGUUUGGUUACUCACCAUCCUAUUAAGAAAUCCAAAACUCUGUUAGCUGCUGCUAUAUCCUCCGGUAGAGUUGUGAAUGGUUCAAACCAGGGAGCAAAUAAGACUGCUGAUGCAUGAGAGAGCAAAAGGUUAUAACCAGCCGCAUAUGGCUCAACAGAUGAAUUCCCUUUGGUGCAAUUGAGUCCAUAUAAGGAGGCCAAGGAAGAAGAGCAAUGAUUUGGUGGAAAGUUCGCAAGAUCGUAGCCUUGGAUAGAGUAAGCGUUUGGCUCAUUGAUAGUGACCCAGUAUUUUACACUGUCCCCAAACUCUUUGAAGCACACAUCGGCAUAAGAAGUGAAGUCUUCUCUGCAUCCGAAUAGACACCAUCUCAGACACGGUUACAAGAGAAUCAAAUGAAAUGGGAAAUUGCCAAAGUUUACACAAUUUUUGGGCUCAACACUCCUGAAUAUUCAUCUUCCAGGGCUUGGGGAAGGUCAAAAUGAAGAAGAGUGACAUGAGGCUCAAUUCCUGCAUGCAAGUAUAGUUUGGGGAAAUUGUGAAUGUGGAAUUCUUAAGGGAGACAACUGAUGCAUGGGAAAGCAAAAGGUUAUGACCAGCUACAUAUGGCUCAACAGAUGAAUUCCCUUUGCUGCAAUUGAGGCCAAGGGAAGAGGCCAAGGAGGAAGAGCAGUGAUUUGGUGGAAAUAUUCCCAGAUCAUGGCCAAGGAUGGGUUCGAUGUUGGGCUCAUUGACAGUUAUCCAGUAUUUUACUCUAUCCCCAAACUCUCUAAAGCACACAUCAGCAUAAGCAGUGAAGUCCUCUCUGCAUCACAAUGGACACAAUCUUCUUAGACACUAUUCCAGGAGAUGCAAAUGAAAGGGAUGUAGUAGAAAUUUACACAAUCUUUGGGCUCAAGAGUCCUGAAUAUUCAUCUUCCAAAGAUUGGGGGAGGUCAAAGUGAAGAAGAGUGACAUGAGGUUCAAUUCCUACAGGACAAACAUAGUUGAGUAAAUUUGUGAUUGAAAAUUGUUUAGGUAUGGCCACUAAUCUAAUUGUACCAUAUUUCUUGAGCUCGUUGAUCAAAUUAUUAUAGUAAUGCACCCCUUCUGGAUUAGUUGGCCCUCUACCAUCUGCAACAUGGCACCAAUUAGAUUCAUGUAAUGCUUAAACUAUUUGGUCAGGAAAAGAAAUUAUGGCCAGUUGAAUGCGG